GAUGAACGCUGGCGGCGUGCCUAAUACAUGCAAGUCGAGCGAACAGACGAGGAGCUUGCUCCUCUGACGUUAGCGGCGGACGGGUGAGUAACACGUGGAUAACCUACCUAUAAGACUGGGAUAACUUCGGGAAACCGGAGCUAAUACCGGAUAAUAUAUUGAACCGCAUGGUUCAAUAGUGAAGGACGGUUUUGCUGUCACUUAUAGAUGGAUCCGCGCCGCAUUAGCUAGUUGGUAAGGUAACGGCUUACCAAGGCAACGAUGCGUAGCCGACCUGAGAGGGUGAUCGGCCACACUGGAACUGAGACACGGUCCAGACUCCUACGGGAGGCAGCAGUAGGGAAUCUUCCGCAAUGGGCGAAAGCCUGACGGAGCAACGCCGCGUGAGUGAUGAAGGCCUUCGGAUCGUAAAACUCUGUUAUUAGGGAAGAACAAAUGUGUAAGUAACUAUGCACGUCUUGACGGUACCUAAUCAGAAAGCCACGGCUAACUACGUG
rnacentral:rRNA from 1 species